rnacentral:rRNA from 1 species
UACGAAGGGGGCUAGCGUUGCUCGGAAUCACUGGGCGUAAAGGGUGCGUAGGCGGGUUAUUAAGUCAGGGGUGAAAUCCUGGAGCUCAACUCCAGAACUGCCUUUGAUACUGGCGAUCUUGAGUCCGGGAGAGGUGAGUGGAAUUCCCAGUGUAGCGGUGAAAUGCGUAGAUAUUGGGAGGAACACCAGUGGCGAAGGCGGCUCACUGGACUGGUACUGACGCUGAUGCGCGAAAGCGUGGGGAGCAAACAGG